UACGGGGGGAGCAAGCGUUGUUCGGAUUUACUGGGCGUAAAGGGCGCGUAGGCGGCGUGACAAGUCACUUGUGAAAUCUCCGGGCUUAACCCGGAGCGGCCAAGUGAUACUGUCGUGCUAGAGUGCGGAAGGGGCUACUGGAAUUCUCGGUGUAGCGGUGAAAUGCGUAGAUAUCGAGAGGAACACCUGCGGCGAAGGCGGGUGAGCUGGGCCGACACUGACGCUGAGGCGCGAAAGCCAGGGGAGCGAACGGG
rnacentral:rRNA from 1 species